GGGGCCAUAGCUCAGCUGGGAGAGCGCCUGCUUUGCAAGCAGGAGGUCGCCGGUUCGAGACCGGCUGGCUCCA
rnacentral:tRNA from 1 species